rnacentral:rRNA from 1 species
AUGCGCCACUAUCUUGAGAAUGCCUGAUCUUGUCUGAUCAUAGAACCUAAAGAGGAUUGAGACUGGUUAGUACUGGGAUGGGAGACCACAGGGAAUAUCAACUGCCAUA